rnacentral:rRNA from 1 species
CCUACGGGUGGCAGCAGUGAGGAAUAGUGGUCAAUGGACGAGAGUCUGAACCAGCCAAGUAGCGUGAAGGAUGACUGCCCUAUGGGUUGUAAACUUCUUUUAUAUGGGAAUAAAAUGUUCCACGUGUGGGAUUUUGUAUGUACCAUAUGAAUAAGGAUCGGCUAACUCCGUGCCAGCAGCCGCGGUAAUACGGAGGAUCCGAGCGUUAUCCGGAUUUAUUGGGUUUAAAGGGAGCGUAGGUGGAUUGUUAAGUCAGUUGUGAAAGUUUGCGGCUCAACCGUAAAAUUGCAGUUGAAACUGGCAGUCUUGAGUACAGUAGAGGUGGGCUGCAUUCGUGGUGUAGCGGUGAAAUGCUUAGCUAUCACGCAGAACUCCGAUUGCGAAGGCAGUUCACUGGACUGCAACUGACACUGAGGCUCGAAAGUGUGGGUAUCAAACCGGAUUAGAUACCCUUGUAGUC